ensembl:snRNA U6 U6 spliceosomal RNA
UCCUGCAUUUCCUGAAAUAUCAGUUGGAUCGAUACAGAGAAGAUUAGCAUGGCCCCUGCGAAAGGAUGACACGCAAAUCUGUGAACCGCUCCAUCUUUUA